ACCUGAAACCGUGUACGUACAAGCAGUGGGAGCCUCUUAAUGGGGUGACUGCGUACCUUUUGUAUAAUGGGUCAGCGACUUAUAUUCUGUAGCAAGGUUAACCGAAUAGGGGAGCCGAAGGGAAACCGAGUCUUAACUGGGCGUUAAGUUGCAGGGUAUAGACCCGAAACCCGGUGAUCUAGCCAUGGGCAGGUUGAAGGUUGGGUAACACUAACUGGAGGACCGAACCGACUAAUGUUGAAAAAUUAGCGGAUGACUUGUGGCUGGGGGUGAAAGGCCAAUCAAACCGGGAGAUAGCUGGUUCUCCCCGAAAGCUAUUUAGGUAGCGCCUCGUGAAUUCAUCUCCGGGGGUAGAGCACUGUUUCGGCAAGGGGGUCAUCCCGACUUACCAACCCGAUGCAAACUGCGAAUACCGGAGAAUGUUAUCACGGGAGACACACGGCGGGUGCUAACGUCCGUCGUGAAGAGGGAAACAACCCAGACCGCC
rnacentral:rRNA from 1 species